rnacentral:rRNA from 1 species
AGCGAACGCUGGCGGCGUGCCUAACACAUGCAAGUCGAACGUGAAAAGGGAAACCUGAGUAAAGUGGCGUACGGGUGAGUAGCGCGUAGGUAAUCUACCCCAGAAUCUGGAAUAACCUGCCGAAAGGCGGGCUAAUACUGGAUAGAGCGAGGGAACUCGUAAGAGAGUUUUUCGGGAAAGGGAGCCCGCAAGGGCCUUCGUUCUGGGAUGAGCCUGCGUCUCAUUAGCUAGUUGGUAAGGUAACGGCUUACCAAGGCGAUGAUGAGUAGCUGGUCUGAGAGGAUGAUCAGCCACACUGGAACUGAAACACGGUCCAGACUCCUACGGGAGGCAGCAGUGGGGAAUCUUGCGCAAUGGACGAAAGUCUGACGCAGCCACGCCGCGUGAGUGAAGAAGGCCUUCGGGUUGUAAAGCUCUGUCGGAUGGGACGAACAUCUUCAUAGUGAAUAGCUAUGAGGACUGACGGUACCAUCAAAGGAAGCACCGGCUAACUCCGUG